CCCUUAGAUGUCCUGGGCCGCACGCGCGUUACACUGAUGCAUUCAACGAGCUUAUAACCUUGGCCGAGAGGCCGGGGCAAUCUUGUUAACGUGCAUCGUGAUAGGGAUAGAUUAUUGAAAUUAUUAAUCUUGAACGAGGAAUUCCUAGUAAACGCAGAUCAUCAAUCUGCAUUGAUUACGUCCCUGCCCUUUGUACACACCGCCCGUCGCACCUACCGAUUGGAUGGUCCGGUGAAGCCUCGGGAUUGUGGUUCUUGCCGCUUUAUUGUGGCGUGACCGCGAGAACUUGUCUAAACCUUAUCAUCUAGAGGAAGGUGAAGUCGUAACA
rnacentral:rRNA from 1 species